GCUGAAGCUGAAGCCACACCCCCUUCCGGUUGCUCGCCCUGGGUUGUUGCCGGUGUUUAGAACCUUCGGCAUGUUAUCUUGAUUGGCGUCGGGUAGCUACGUUUAGUGUUACCAACGGAAGCUACAGCGGCUGGAGCGGCUCCUGACGUGCUCUCCCUUGUGUGUAUGUGUGUGCGCGCCACGCAGCUGCUCAGAGUGGCAGCGCCAAGGACCCGCUGCUGUUUUGCCUUGCUGUUGUUUUGCUUCACUUUGGCCAUGUAUCUGUGAUGGGCUUGCUAUACGGCUAACUGCAGCUAGCCUCCGCUACUUCUCUGCCUCAUCGGCCUGGUCCGCUUCCCCUCGGCGUCAGCCGGGUUAGACCAGGCAGCUUGGGAAGGCUGAGCACCUGUGGCAGGGAACGUGGUGUCGUCGGUGGUGGUAUCCCUCCCCGUGUGAUGUGUGAACCCUGGGUAUUUUUCAUUUAAUCCAUCACGUGUGUGUGUGUGUGUGAGAUUUUAUUCACCUGGUGACCUCUCCCUGGGCCCUGUUCCUCCCCUCCGGUGAUACAUCCUGCCACAUGGUUUCCCAGAGACUAUGGGUUGAGGAGGAAUUGGAAGUUUGUCGGCUUAGACCUGGUGUCAUUCCAUCAGUGUUUAACUUCUCGGCUCAUCUUGAAAGAGUACGUGCCAGAAAGACCACGACCAAGCAGCCUUGAGAUCUUAGGCAGCAUCUCCCUGAGGUCCCUCUCUAUCUCCCCACACAUCCACCAACCACUGGAACACAUCUCCAAAGUUCUGCCGGGCCAGCUCAGCUUCCCCUCAGAAGUGCCGCCACCUGACAGAUGAAGGAGCCUUUUGAGAAGCAGCUGGCAUCGCGAUUGGACUGUACUUUGGUCUGUUCCAAUCCAGCUUCAGCUCCAGAGACGGCAGGCGGGACGAGUCAACAGAGGCCGGGUGGACGAAGGCAUGCAGCUGAGUACAAUCCAGAAAACAACAGAGGAGGAGUGCAGCGGCUCAGGGCCAGAACAACCAGAGUAGCAUCUGCCUUCCAGAGGGCAACAGAUCAAAAAGCUGAGAACCGGGAUGUGAACUGUCCUUGAUGAUGUUCUGAGCUCUGCUGAGGCACCAGGUGGAGUAGAUGUCCAUGAGGGAGGGGAGAGGACAGACAACAAUUUACUGAUUUACGGUAAUAAAUACAUUUAAAAAUGGUGCUGCUUUGGCUCUGAACCUUUAUCUACCUGUGGUCACUCUGUCUUCUGGAGUGAUUUGAUUGGUUAUACGUAACGAAUAAAACUCCUUUAACGUAACAUCUGUAAACAAAACAAAAACGUAUCAACAAAGUUUUCUAUUAGAGUUUGUGUUCUUCUAAGUUUAACUCAAGAUUUUAAAUACUUUCAUUUACUGCAAAUGAAUAUCUACUCCAAAUGUCUCACUAAUAAUCAUUAUCAGCCUUAAAAACCCACAAAACACCCCUCUAUACUUGACCACACUUAGUACAGUCUGGUUCCCCCUUCUAUAAAUCUGCUUGGAAUCUUCCACUUCCUGUUUGUCAAAGUGGCCUUCUACCUGGACAGGUUUUGUUGGAGCUCAUGCAACAAACAUUUUGGGUAACUGCACUUUAAUAUGGAUGGAUGACGCUGAAUUAGAGUCUGUUUUAAUGAGACUGAGUUCAGAUAUGUAGCUCUGUCAUUAAAUAGGAAAUUAUUUCUCAGAAUUCACAGAGAAAAGUCUGAAAUGUUUGCUAGGUUAGCGUCCCACAUGUUCUUUGGCUCAGCUAAAGCUAACUCUCUCCAACUUCUGGAUCUCUUGAGUUGCUUGUUGUUAAAAUAUCAUGCUAGAGGUGCUGAAGCUCAGAAAGUCUGAGAUGUUUGUUCAAAAUAAGCUCAUUCUCAAGUCUUCUCUGAACUGUCCUCUUUUGUUUGAACUUUCCCUAAACUUAGGAGUUAAUGACAGAGCAGCACAUCCAGACUCAGUCUCAUUUAUGUAGAGAUUAAACUUCAGUGUCAUUCAUUGAUGUUAAAGUGCAGUUUUUCAAAUGUUUGUUGCACAUGCUCCCGACCAAACCAGUCCAGGUGGAAGACGAUGUGAAGAGAAAGCUCCAGAGGAUGAAUAUCACACAUUUAUGUUGGAAAUAAAUGUCCUUUAAUUAGACAUUGUCAUGCAAAAGUUGGAUUUCCCUUUGCUGAGUGUUUUGUUUGACAUUGGUUUCUAAAUGUUUUUUGACACUUGGCCCCAAAGAUUAAAACCUUCUACGGCUCACAAGCUGCAACAAUUCACACAUUAUCAACUAUCUUUCUGACUAAACUAAGAUAAAAAGUGAAAAACUGCCUGAUUCCUGCAUCAUGAAUGUAAAUCUUUUUGGUUUUUAUUACCGUAAACUGAAUAUAUUUGGGCUUGACAUUUUAUAAACCAAAACAAGAAAUGAAUUACUGGAGAAAACGACAGAUUAAUGGACAAAGAAAAUGUGUUUUCUAACAUAUAUGGCUGAAUUACUCCAUUACAAGAUACAUACAAUUUUAAUUCAAUUUUAUUUCUAUAACACCAAUUACAGGUCAAAUUGUCUCAAGAUGCUUUAUUUUUAUAUAUUUUUGUCAUAUUUAAAAUAUGACAAAGUAAGAAAUUUAAACCUCUUGACUAAUCCAAUUUAUUAUUUAGAUUUUAAGAGACUAAUUGACAAUUCAAAGUUUCCCCACUAAAACUAAUAAACAUGAGGUCAAAUAGAAGGAAGAGUUUUAAAUACUGCAGUCCCACGACGACAAGAAUAAAGUUUCUCAACAAAAACUAAAUCUGCUGGUGGAUUCCAUUAAAGUCCUAAUAAAGGAUCAUAAAGUGUGAUACUAAAGGUUUGUGGUGCUAAAAAUCUCCAAGUAAAGAUAUCAAGUUGAACAUCUGGAUGGAGGUUGAUAAAAGUUGACCUUUCAUUUCUCUGGAGUCAACUCCAUGGAUUUUAUGGAUGGUGGUUAAAGACCUGCUCUUCUAGUUGUCUUCCUUCUCGUCGUUGUAAAAAGUCAGUCCAUCCUGGCCGACUUCAACGCCUCUUCAUGACAACUUGUUCUGCCUCUGACCUCGUGGAAACUCAAGAAACUCGGGAAAACCUGUCGAGACUCGAGGAACUCGUCGAGACUCGAAGAACUCGUCGGGCGGGGGAAGGUGUGGUGGGCAGUGGGGGGAGGUGGGGGAGUAGAGGGGGGAGGCCGCCACCCACCUCCCCGCCUACUCUCCGCCCUGACUCCACCCAGACUCCACCCAGACUCCGCCUUGGCCCUGCCCGUGUGGUCACUUGGAAACUACGAUGACAAAGGGACGACGAAAUUAUGUUUUUUUAUCUGAUCUGUAGCUCAGUGAGUUAAGGAUUUGCCUAUGGAGCUGCAGGUCGCUGGUUCAAGACCAGACACUUCUUAAAUUUUCUCAAAAUUCUGACAAAGACAAAGAAAGAAAAAGGCCGGUGGCGGGUCUUGAACCUGCGACCUUCCAGUUGGUAGUCUGUCUUCUUAUCCCCUGAGCUACCCGCUCAGAUACCAAUUCUUCUUUUUUUUGCGCAUUUAUCAUCUAUUUUUUGUCGUUUUCGAGUUUUUUUUUAACUCGAGUCUCGUCUCGACCGUUUUUCUCAGGAGGUUGGGCUUCAGCCUUUGUGCUGGAGGGUUGAACCCUCAGUUCCAAGACUUUUCAAAGCCUCCGGACCUCCCGAGUCCUCAGGACCUGAGCUUUCACACAGUCUGAGGGCUGAAAUUUUCUAAGUCCCACAGUAGUUCUCUGUUAGAUUUAACUUUCAGACAGCCCAAGGACUGAUAUCUUCUAAGUUCCUGAGUAGUUCUCUGUUAGUUUGAGCUUUUCGACAGUCUGAGGACUGAAAUCUUGAAAGUUCUUGAGUAGUUCUAUGUUAGUUUGAACCUUUCGACAGUCUGAGGACUGGAAUCCUAAAAGUUCUUGAGUAGUUCUCUGUUAGUUUGAACCUUUAGACAGUCUGAGGACUGAAGUUUUAAAAGUUUCUCAGUACUUCUCUGUUAGUUUGAACUUUCUGGUUAACAGAAGCCUUAAAACUUGUGACCAUGAGUCUUGAUUUCACAUUUAGAUCAUCCGUCUGAGUUCUUCUCAGACCUUCACCUGUGGGUUUUUAGAAAUCCUCAACAAACUUUGAUUCUCUUCACUGAACAGUAAAGUUUGUGGAGAUCAGAAGGUAACAUUAGUUUGAUCAAUGCCUUCAACUACUAGUAGACUUUAUCUGGAAAGCAGUUUUCUGAAAUGAGUUCUUAGUAAAUCUGUCCACAUUCAAACCAAGAACAUAGAAACAGGAAAUGUCUGAAGAAACAACUUGAUGUUUUCAUUUCAGAGUAGAAAACACUUUAAUACCUUUAUCUGUUUUUGCUCUUUUGAACAUUUUAUUGUUUCUUCUGUUUAAUUUGAUCUUCUAAAGUUUAACUGGUGUCUUUUCAAAGGUUUUAUCUUUAGUUAGAUUCUUCUUAAAUGUUUAGUUUUGCUCUUUUCUCACCUUUUAUUCUGUUCUAAUGUCUGAUCUGAUUUCGAAAUGUUUUGUAUUUUUAAUGUUUAAUUGUUCUUUUUUCAAAUGUUUUAUCGGCUUGUUUGAAAAAUUUCCUUUUCUUUCCCAAUGUUUAAUUUUUCGAUUAAAUCUUUGUUAAGG
ensembl:lncRNA